CAGUCGCCGCGGUAAUACGAAGGGGGCUAGUGUUGUUCGGAUUUACUGGGCGUAAAGGGCGCGUAGGCGGACUGAUAAGUCAGGGGUGAAAUCCCAAGGCUCAACCUUGGAACUGCCUUUGAUACUGUUUGUCUUGAGUUCGAGAGAGGUAAGUGGAACUGCGAGUGUAGAGGUGAAAUUCGUAGAUAUCCGCAAGAACACCAGUGGCGAAGGCGGCUUACUGGCUCGAAACUGACGCUGAGGCGCGAAAGCGUGGGGAGCAAACAGGAUUAGAUACCCCUGUAGUCCCUGUCUCUUAUAC
rnacentral:rRNA from 1 species